rnacentral:rRNA from 1 species
GAUGAACGCUGGCGGCGUGCCUAAUACAUGCAAGUCGAGCGAACAGACGAGGAGCUUGCUCCUCUGACGUUAGCGGCGGACGGGUGAGUAACACGUGGAUAACCUACCUAUAAGACUGGGAUAAUUUCGGGAAACCGGAGCUAAUACCGGAUAAUAUAUUGAACCGCAUGGUUCAAUAGUGAAAGACGGUUUUGCUGUCACUUAUAGAUGGAUCCGCGCCGCAUUAGCUAGUUGGAAGGUAACGGCUUACCAAGGCAACGAUGCGUAGCCGACCUGAGAGGAUGAUCGGCCACACUGGAACUGAGACACGGUCCAGACUCCUACGGGAGGCAGCAGUAGGGAAUCUUCGGCAAUGGGCGAAAGCCUGACGGAGCAACGCCGCGUGAGUGAUGAAGGUCUUCGGAUCGUAAAGCUCUGUUAUUAGGGAAGAACAAAUGUGUAAGUAACUAUGCACGUCUUGACGGUACCUAAUCAAAAAGCCACGGCUAACUACGUG